rnacentral:rRNA from 1 species
GAGUUUGAUCAUGGCUCAGGACGAACGCUGGCGGUGCGCCUUAUGCAUGCAAGUUGAGCGAAGCUUUUCAGUAGUUUACUACAGAAAAUGACUGAGCGGCGAACGGGUGAGUAACGCGUGAGCAAUCUACCUUAGUUACUGGGAUAGCCCGAGGAAACUCGGAUUAAUACCGGAUAUUCUUAUUUUUUCACAUGAAGUUUUAAGGAAAGGUCAGCCGAACUAAGAUGAGCUCGCGUUCUAUCAGCUAGUUGGUGGGGUAAAAGCCUACCAAGGCUACGACGGAUAGCUGGUCUGAGAGGACGAUCAGCCACACUGGGACUGAGACACGGCCCAGACUCCUACGGGAGGCUGCAGCAGGGAAUAUUGCGCAAUGAGCGAAAGCUUGACGCAGCGACACCGCGUGUGGGAUGACGGUUCUAGGAUUGUAAACCACUUUCAGGAGGGAAGAAAAUGACGGUACCUCCACAAGAAGACCCGGCCAACUACGUGCCAGCAGCCGCGGUAAUACGUAGGGGUCAAGCGUUGUCCGGAUUUAUUGGGCGUAAAGAGCUCGUAGGCGGUUCAACAAGUCGGUCGUAAAAGUUUAGGGCUCAACCCUAAAAUGUCGAUCGAUACUGUUGUGACUAGGAUACGGUAGAGGUGAAUGGAAUUCCGAGUGUAGCGGUGAAAUGCGUAGAUAUUCGGAGGAACACCAAUUGCGAAGGCAGUUCACUGGACCGUGAUCGACGCUGAGGAGCGAAAGCUAGGGGAGCAAACAGGAUUAGAUACCCUGGUAGUCCUAGCUGUAAACGAUGGAUACUAGAUGUAGGAACUGGGAUUGACGGUUUCUGUAUCGUAGCUAACGCGUUAAGUAUCCCGCCUGGGGAGUACGGUCGCAAGACUAAAACUCAAGGAAUUGACGGGACCCCGCACAAGCGGCGGAGCAUGCGGCUUAAUUCGAUGAUACCCGUAGAACCUUACCUGGACUUGANAAUAUANAGGGGAAAAGCUA